rnacentral:rRNA from 1 species
GAUGAACGCUGGCGGCGUGCCUAACACAUGCAAGUCGAGCGAUCUUCUUCGGAAGAGAGCGGCGGACGGGUGAGUAACGCGUGGGUAACCUGCCCUGUACACACGGAUAACAUACCGAAAGGUAUGCUAAUACGAGAUAAUAUGCUUUUAUCGCAUGGUAGAAGUAUCAAAGCUCCGGCGGUACAGGAUGGACCCGCGUCUGAUUAGCUAGUUGGUAAGGUAACGGCUUACCAAGGCGACGAUCAGUAGCCGACCUGAGAGGGUGAUCGGCCACAUUGGAACUGAGACACGGUCCAAACUCCUACGGGAGGCAGCAGUGGGGAAUAUUGCACAAUGGGCGAAAGCCUGAUGCAGCAACGCCGCGUGAGCGAUGAAGGCCUUCGGGUCGUAAAGCUCUGUCCUCAAGGAAGAUAAUGACGGUACU